GGAGUGUGGAAGUAUAAAUCUAAUCAUGGGGAACAGAAGAUCGUCGUCUGUCACCAAGAUUGGAGUGUAUUCUCUAGCGCUUAGUAAUGGAUUAGGAUUAUAUUUAAAUAAUUGUUUCUAUUCGCCAGAUAUGGCAAGAAACAUCAUUUCAUUUCAUGUUUUGUUUAGGCAAGGAUUUAGAUAUUCAUUUGAUAAUGAGAAAGGUUCUAUUUAUGCUUAUCUAAAAGGUGUUUUAUAUUUCGAGGCAUUACCUUGUAAUGGAAUUUACGAAACUUUGAUGGUUGUAGAUAACCUAGUAAAUCAUGUGUUGUGAAUUGAUUCUUCCAAUAGCAUGGAUAAAGCAUGCUUGUGGCAUUGUCGUCUUGGACAUGUCAACAAGAAACACAUAGCCCAACUCCAAAAGGAUGGAGUGUUGGAGUCAUUCGACCUUAGGGACGACGACGUGUGCGAGGCUUGUUUACUUGGAAAGAUGACCAAGUCACCCUUCACAGGCUCUUAUGAGAAAGGUGAGGGUCUAUUGGAUCUCAUACACACUGAUGUGUGUGGGCCCUUUAGAUCCACCACAAGGGAUGCGAACUGCUUUUAUGUGACUUUCACCGACGACUAGAGCAGAUAUGGGUAUAUCUACUUAAUCAAGCACAAGUCAGAAACCUUUGAAAAGUUCAAAGAGCUUAAGCAAGAAGUGGAGAAUCAAUUGGGCAGUAAAAUCAAGAUGCUUCAAUCCGAUCUAGGAGGAGAGUACCUAAGUCUUGAAUUCCACGACUAUCUUAAAGAAUGUGGAAUUGUUUCGCAAUUGAUGACACCUAGGACACCAUAGUUGAACGGUGUGGCUGAGAGGCGUAAUAGAAACUUGUUGGACAUGGUUCGAUCCAUGACGAGUCGUGCUUCAGUACCUAUCUCAAUUUGGGGGUAUGCCUUAGAGACUGCCGGCCAUAUCCUUAACUUAGUCCCUACGAAGAAGGUUGCCAAAACACCUCACGAGACGUUGACAGGGAAAGCUCCCUCAUUGGCACAUAUCAAGGUUUUUGGCUGCGAGGUUUUCGUCAGACGAGAGACUCACGAAAAGCUCGAACCUUGUAGUGAGCGAUGCAUUUUCAUCGGCUACCCACAUAAAUCUUUUGGAUAUCUCUUCUAUAAACUGAGUGACAAUGUUGUCUUCGUUACGAGGAGAUGGGUUUUCUAAGAGCGAGAACUCAUAAGCCAGGGGGAUAGUGGGAGGCGAAUCGAUCUUGAAUAGAUUCAAGAGUCGAGCGAUGAAGGAACCUCUAACGCUGGCACUCAACCUAAGGAGGAAACUCUGAUUCAGCCGAUUGACAAGUCCUUACCUCUUAGACGUUCCGGAAGAGUUAGAGUUCAACCCCAGUUAUAUGGUUUUCAUAUUACUACAUAAGGGGACACAUAUAUUAGUGAUAGUACACUAAUAAAUCUUGAUGAACCUAACAGCUAUAAGGAAGCCAUGGCAGGCCUAGAGUCUGCAAAAUGGAAAUGUGCACAUGUAUAAGGCUUGAUUAGGUGUGAAGGGCUUUACUCAAACUCCCGGAGUUGAUUAUGAUGAGACCUUCACACCAGUUGCGAAAAUAAAGUCUAUUAGGGUGAUGCUGGCCAUUGCUGCAGUUCAUGAUUAUGAAAUAUGGCAGAUGGAUGUCAAAACUGAUUUCCUUAAUGGGAAGUUCGCUGAGGAUGUUUACAUGGCCUGAGAAGUCCAUUUAUGGACUUAAGCAAGCGUCUCGCAGAUGGAAUCUAUGUUUCAACGAGAAAGUCAAAGUGUUUGGGUUUCUGCGAAGCAAAGAUGAAUCAUGUGUAUAUGUCAAAGCCAGUGGGAGUAUAGUGAGCUUCCUCAUAUUGUAUGUCAAUGACAUACUGCUCAUAGGAAACAACAUCCUGACACUGCAGGAAGUUAAAUCUUGGCUCGGGAAGUGCUUCGCUAUGAAGGACCUCAGAGAAGCUGCAUAUAUUCCGAGAAUAAGGAUAGUGAGAAACAGGAGUAAAAGACUAAUAGUUCUUAGUCAGAAUACUUACUUGGACAAGGUAUUAAAAUGUUUUAGUAUGGAGAAUUCCUAGAAAGGGGAGUUACCAAUCCAAAGUUAUGCCCAGUUGAGUAAGACUCAAAGUCCGAGUACCGAAGCUGAGAUUGCAGAGAUGAGCCAAGUACCUUACGCUUCCGCAGUUGGCUCAAUCAUGUAAGCUAUGACUUGUACUCGUCCUGAUGUGGCCUUAUCUUUGAGCAUGGUCAGCAGAUAUCAAGGGAACCCUGGCAAAGCACAUUAGACCGCAGUCAAGAAUAUUCUUAAGUACCAUCGGAGGACUAAGGAAUGGCUUCUAGUCUUCGGUGGGAGUGAUGACUUAAAAGUGCGAGAGUAUAGUGACGCAAGUUUUCAGACGAACAAGGACAACUACCGUUCGUAGUUGGGCUAGGUCUUUACCCUUAAUGGAGGAGCAGUGACUUGCAAAAGUUCCAAGCAAGAAACCGCAGCUGAUUCAAUGUGAGAAUCAGAGUACAUUGCAGCGAGCGAAGCAUCAAAAUAGGCAAUAUGGCUGAAGAAUUUCAUUGGAGACCUUGGAUUUGUGUUAGCCAUAUAGGAGCCCAUGGAAAUUUUCUAUGAUAAUGAAGGAGCAGUUGCCUUGACCAAGGAACCGAGGGAUCAUGGUAGAUCUCGAUAUAUUGACAGAAAAUAUCACAUUAUUCGACAUCGGGUAGAAGAAGGACUCCUCGUAGUGAAGAGGGUAUCGUUAGAGGAUAACCCAGUAGAUCCACUUACGAAGGGACUGAGUAGGGUUAAGCACUUGUAGCACGCUAGGAGCAUUGGGCUGAAGGUCAAUAAUAGUUUAGAUUAGAUAAUUUAGAAACAUGUAAUAGAUAAAUGUAAUUGACAUUUGAUUAUUAAAUAAAGGAGUAUUAUUUAUAAGUAAAGUUACUGUCUUAUGUUAAUUGUUUAACUACUAUUUAACUUUGCAUGUUUUGACUUCCUGAAUAACUGAGUUAUUUAAGAAUAAUCGAAUUAUUCGAACGGUCCACAGUCGUUCAUAUGUUGGAAGUAGGUAUGAAUGAAGACUGUCAUGAAUAGGUGUGUAGAUUGUCUGGAAGGUAUUAGAUAUAGCAAAGGUUUGCUACAACGUUGAUGAGUGCUUAUGAACAAGUUUUGAGAAUUGGAAUAAACCCAAGCUUGCUGUAAUCACUUCAUGGAAUUUAUCACGAGUGAUCGCAAGACAAUAAUAUCAUAUGGUCUUAAAACCUAGAUAUAUGGUUUAUUGUUUGCUGAUUGGUUGUGCAAUGAUAAUGCGAAAAUGCAUUAGUAACUCGAUGUCAUAAAAUGCAUUGUUGUGUAUGAUUUGAUUAGUGAAUAGUAAAUACAUAUAAGUCGAAGUUUCUCUAUUCCUUUUAUCCUAAUAGGGUAAAAGCGAUAUCAGGGCCCCUCGAUGAUUUAGUUUGACUUAUGUGUCGGGCCCGGUCUGGACUGAAUUGAUGUGUUCAAUUAAGUUCUAUGUCAAACGAAUCUGAGAUCGAGAAACAAACUGUUGGCAAAUAAGUAUGAUUGUGUUCCAUGUGAAUGUCCGCACGAUAUCUAGAAAAGAGGAUCAUUCGAUCCCUUAUCUAAAGGACAGGUUACUGAUAAGAUCAGAGUUUGACAACGUCUUUGAGAGCUACGAUUGCUAAUCGGAUUAUUCUUAUACUUAUAGUUACUAGACUUAUCCAAGUGGGAGACUGUUGGAUUGGUGUCUAAGCCCGUAACUAUAUUUGAUAAGUACUUGACCCGGUUGUGGAUGGUCCUUUUGGGUUGUCUUCACCAAAGCAACAUGAUAUGAUGAUUUAUAAAUAAAGUGGUUAUUAUGAUUUAUUAAUAUAUUAUAUGAUUAAUAUAUUAAAGGAGAAAUCAUAUAGUUUAAUUAAUUUUAGACAAGAAUUAGUUAAGAAUUAAUUAUUUGUCUAACAGAGAUUAAUUAAAUAAAGGGGACUAGAACUGUCAAUUGUGUGAUAGUUGGUUUUAGGCUAUGGAUCCUUAUGGAUCAUAGGGUGGAGGAAAUUAAGGUGCAUGGAUCCUUGAAUUCGUCCAAGCCUUAAUCUAGAAGGAUCCUUGGACUGCUUAAGGCCUAAGUAAUCCAAUUAGGGUUUCAGGCUGUAACCCUAGCAGCUCAAAUAUUUAAAGAACCCAGGGGCUACAGAAAUCGGCUACCAGAAACCCUAAGGAGUUCCUAGAGCUGAUUUUGUGCCCACAACCUCUCUCCAAAUCAUACUCUUUCUUCUUGGUGUUUGUAAGCCAUUAGAGGAGUGACACUUAUGACUCUAACCUCUAAGGAUAACAAGAUUCAAGCUUUCAAGAAGAGGUAAUCAUCUAGAUCUGCUUUUUCAUGUCAAUUUCGAAUUGUAAAUCAUAGAUCUAGGGUUUGCAAGUCUAGGAUGAAAAUCAUGUUCAUUAGAGAAACCUAGAUCCAAGCAUUAGGGUUUGCAUGUGCACAUAGGAAUGUUCUUAUGGCUCAAACCCAUCAAAAUACGCUAUGCGUAUUUAAUGUGUAUGCAUGGCAUACUCACCUGAAACCCUUUUGGGCAAUUUUUUAACCUUGGGUCGGUUUGGGCCUUGGGCCAUGGUUAGAUGGGCCUAGAGUAGGAAGUGUAAAAGGGAAUUUUAGCCUUUAUAAGAUGGAUUAUGAUUUUAGGCCUUUAUUUGUGGGUUAUUACCCUAAAUAGUGAUUGGGGUUUAUUAUAUGUGUUUAGUCUGAGGAGCCAUUUUAGCAGCAACUUGUUUUUGGUUGUUUAUCAUUAGAUUGAGGUGAGUCUCUUUACCAUACUUCUGGGUCGAAGGAACCAAUGUUAGAUCAUUGGAUUACGAUUGUAGAAUGCUAGUUAUCUAUGUGAUACUUUCCCGUUUUGUAUGUUAGGUGGGGCCCAUUAUGUGAGUUAGGGUGAGGCCCGAUAUAAUCAAUGGGUGGUGCCCAUUAUGUGAGAUAGGGUGAUGCCCGUUAUACUCAUUAGGCAGGCCCCGUUAUGAGAUUUAGGGUGAGGCCCGUUAUAGUCAUUGGGCUAAAUUACUAAGCUUUGUGCAUAUGGGAUUGUACUCUGAUAACUAUUUUCAAAUUCACGUACUUAUGAUGGUUUGACAUGAAUAUUCGAUCAUUUUGUUUGAAUUAAAAAUCAAAUUUUUACAUAUCAUUUUUGGGAUGUUACAAGUUUGUAUCGAAGCCUUGGUUUGAGGGAUUCAAAUACACUCUUGGUUGUGUCUCAACUCAGUUUCGUAACUUUUUUAUAAAAUGAAAUGGUUUUCUAAAGAGAUUACUACUAGAAAUAAGGGGUAUGAUACAUGCAAUCGACCGACCUCAAGUAAGUGUUAUGAAGGUACCUAUACAUGUUUAUUAAUUCAGUAUGUGAAUAUAUGAAUAGCAUGGUAGAUUAGGGAAAAUAAUCUGCUCAAAAUUGUAUCAUAGAAGGGAUUCAUUUAUAUGGUUAUUGCAUAAGCCUAUUGAACGAUAUGCUAAUAUGGAUUACUGAUGAUAUGUUAGGAUGAUCUGUUAGAAAGUGCCUUAGUUAGAACUCGAUGCCUAAAUGCUGCUUAAUUUAUACUUUUUGGGAUCACUGUUAAUUCGAGUUAACUUUCAAGUGAAUAUGUUAGGUUACAUGUUCCAAAAUUAGAUAAUUUUAGUAGCUUAGUUUUAACUCUAUUGCACAACUCUUGUUUGAAUCCAACCAUUAUAGUGUGAGACUUACCAGGCAAAGAAUUAUCUAGUGCGUGUUGCUUGUAAUUAUAUUUAUAAGGUAGUUAGUGGGUAUUAGUGGGGUGGGGGUGUCUUGUACAGCUGAUGGUGGAGAUUUGUGGAAAGGGAAUCCUAGGAGAACCUAGGAAUCAUGUUAGAAUUAGCAGAUGCAUGGUUUGGUGGGGUUGUGGAAUAUUGGAAUUUAAGGAGUCACUUGGGGGAACCACGACGAUUCUUGAGGAAAAUAUGGAUAGGUUUAGAAGGUAUUAUUGCGCCAAUACUAUUGGAAGCAUAGGAUCCGUACUCAAGUAAAGUGAGUCAAAAGGAUACUAAAGGACCCACAUGGUGUGGGAUUCUUGAAGAGUUCUUUUAUGGUUUGGAUUUUCUUUUUUUUCAGUAUGGUGGUCACUUGCGAUGGUUCAUGUCCUAGUUAGGUAUUGGGUUCAGGUUCUGGAGCCAGACCCUUGGAUGAUCAGAUGAGGGAGUUCAUUUCGUCUAUGAUUACUUGCCGGAGGGCAUUAUGGAGUUGAUAGAUGAGCGUCUGGGCAUAUUCCAUACUGAGAUGCUGGGUUUUGUGGGUACACGUUCUUUGACACUUUGAGAGUUUUGUGUAUGUAGGACUCGUUAUUUGUUGGGGAUAAAGGACACCCUUUCUAGUAGGCAUUGUUUGGAAGACAUUGUGAAUGUCUUUCGUACUAGUUUCUGCUCCUAGGGGUCGAAGGUUAGAUUUGCAUCCUGUCUUUUGAAAGACAGAGCCAAAGAUUGGUGGGAUGAGGUGGAAAAUGGGUUGGGAGGCGAGGGUUUUGAGACGAUGUAAUGGGAUGACUUUGAUAAUAGAUUAAGGGCUGAUUUUAUGCUCGUGAUUGAGGUUAAACAGUUAGCGAGGGAGUUUCAAGACCUUCUCCAGACUUCCAAGCCAUUGGUGGAGAUCACCGUCACGUACCAUGAAAAGGGACUUGUUGGUUCCGCAGUAUUUGGUGGCCGAUAAGACAAAGAAGGCCCUGUACCAUGAUAUAUCAAAGGAUGAGAUAUGGGAGUUUAUGAGUUUGUCUACUUGUAAGACAUUGGAAGACAUGAUAGCUUGGUAUUGCGAGCGGGAGAUUGAUCUGGAGACUGUGAGGAAGAGAAAGUCGGUUCAUGGGCAGGUAUCGGAGGGCUUGGUGAAGAAACACAAAGUUAUGGAUUUGAGAUGGAGGUGUCAUCUGGGUUGGGGUUAGUGCGGCCAGUGCGGUUGGACACAUGAUGGAGCUUGUAGGGUAGGUGAUACUGGCAGCUACAACUUCGACAAGACUAGGCAUUUCAGCAAGGAUUGUACUACCACUACCACUAAACAAUGACUGAGUCUGAUUUGCAUCCAUCUAGAUUACAAAGGCCAAAAGAAGGUGAUUUUUCAAUUUUUGACUAUAAGGGGAGCGGUUGUAGCACCCGCUCCAAUGACAUUAAGGAUUACCGAUGGCCGCUAGGGCAAGGCGAAGGUGCAAUUCAUGAGGAUUCGAGCUUUCUAGUUAUCAACCGAAGGGGCUUAUGUCGCACCAUAUAUGGUUAUAGGUAUUUUAUUUUCUCCCUAUUUUAUUUAUUGUUUUGAUGUUUCUACUUAAUAUAUACAUGAUUGAUUUUAUAUAGGCUUAAGUGGUGUUCCAGCAUUAGUUCUGUUUGAUUCGGACCCCACUGGAUCAUAUGUAUCUCACGCUUUUAGCAAGAGAUUCGACUAUGCUUUGGGGAGCUUGAGUAUCCAUUAGAGGUAGAGGUUGUUUAUGAUCGUCCAAUCUUUGUAUCAAGGGUUCAUUGUGUGUGUGUUCUGGAGUUAUUAAGUGAGCGGUAUCCUAUUGAUUUGGUUCCUAUUCCUUUGCACGAGAGGAAGGUGAUUGUAGAGAUGGAUUGCUUGAACCCUAAUUGGGCAAUGGUUGACUAUGGGUACCAGUUGGUUCAGGUUCGAACCCCAAUUAGGGGAGAACUACUUAUUCAUUCUGAGGGUGCUUAAUGUGGACCAUCUGUUUGUUCAGCUACGAGGACCAGGAGAUAUCUACAAUAGGUUUGUUUUACUUUAGUGUGUUACAUAUUGGACACUAGAGAGGAGAAGAAGAGGACAAUUGAUGAUGUUCCGGUUGUUUGAUAUUAUUUUGAUGUAUUCCCGGAGGACUUUCCUGGAGUGCCUCCGUAAAGGCAGGUGCAGUUCCGUAUAGAUCUUGUUCCAGGUGCGACUCCAAUAGCCAAGGAACCAUAUUGACUACCACCACAAAGAUGCAGGAGCUGUUAGACAAUAAAUUUAUCAGACCGAGUACUUCACCCCGAGGUGCGCCAAUUUUGAUUGUGAAGAAGGAGGAUGGAUCCCACAGGAUGUACAUUGAUUAUCAGAAGCUGAACAAGUUGAUACAAAAGAACCAUUAUCCGCUUUGGAGGAUUGAUUAUUAGUUCGACCAGCAUUAUGGUGCAUCUUGUUUCUCAAAGAUUGAUCAAUGUUUAGGCUAGUAUCAGAUGAGGGUUCCAGACGAGGAUGUUCAAAAGUCAGCCUUCAGGACAAGUUAUGGUAAUUACGAGUUCAUGAUGAUUCCUUUUGGGCUCACCAAUGCAUCAACAAUAUUCUUGGAUCUCAUGAAUUGAUUUUACAGACUGAUGCUUGAUCGGUCAGUCAUUGUGUUUAUUGAUGAUAUCAUGGUCUAUUCUAAGACCAAGUAACAACAUGAGGAUCAUGUGCAAGAGGUUCCGGAGACUCUGAGGAGGGAGAGGCUAUAUGAUAAAUUCUCCAAGUAUUAGUUAUGGUUAUGUGAGGUGCAAUUCUUGGGGAACCUUUUCAACCAAAUGGGUAUAUUGGUCGAUCUGAAAAAGAUCAAGCCCUUGAUGAAGUGGUAUUAUCGGAGGUUUAUCGAGAAGGUCUUCACGAUCGCAAUUUUGUUGAACAGGCUGACGAAAAAGUCUAAUACUUUCCAUUGGGGGCCUAAGUAGUAGGCAACAUUUGAGAAUUUGAGACAGAUGUUAUGUGAGGAUCCGAUCUUGACCUACCAAAGGGUGUGGACGAUUUUGUAGUGUACUGUGAUGCAUCGAUUUUGGGAUUGGUGCAGUUCUGAUGCAAAUGGGCUGUGUGAUAGCUUAUUCUUUGACAUAGUUGAAGCCUCAUGAAGCAAAUUAUCCUACUCAUAAUUUGGAGAUGGGGGCGGUGGUUUUUUUCCUCAAGAUUUUGCAUCAUUACUUGUAUGGGGUUCAUUGUAUUGUUCACACGAACCGCAAGAGUUUGAGGUAUUUGAUGGAUCAGCCAAAUCUGAGCAUCAGGCAACGUGUGUGGCAAGAUUUGGUGAAGGAUUAUGAUUGUGAGAUCCUUUACUAAUUGGGCUGUUUUUCUGAGGAUGAUAGUCAUUACCGCACUCUCGUAGAAGAUCUAAGAGCCUUAGUUGGAGGCUAUGAAAGAGGAGCACCAGAAGAGUGAGCAUAUAGUGGGUUAGGUAUCCUCUUUGUAUUAUGAUAGUAAGGGAUUAUAGACCCUUCAUCAGUGUUUGGUUCCCAUAUAUUUAGGAGCGAAGAAGAUGUAUACAGACCUCUAACUUGAUUAUUGAUUUCCAUGCAUGAAGCGGGAUGUGGCUUUGUAUGUGGAAAGGUAAUUGACUUGUAAGAAGUCAAACCCGAGCAUUAGCGACCUAACGGUAAAAUGGAGCCAUUAGGUGUACCUUCUGGAAACGAGAAAAUUUUACAAUGAAUUUUAUCAUGUAGUUACAAUGGACUACACGAUGGGUGGAUUCAAUUUAGGUAAUCGUGGAUCGAUUGACAAAAAGUGCGUGUUUCAUUCCUAUUCAAGAGAGCAUCUCUGCGGACAAGUUAGCGAAUGUCUACAUCCAGGAGGUUGUGGCAUGACAUGGGCUCCCCGUCUUAGUGGUUUGUCAGAUCAGGAUGCUCGGGGCACAUCCAUGUUUUGGAAUGGGUUCCAUCAAGAGUUUGGUAGCUGUUUGUUCUUCAAAACAACUUUUCAUCCGCAGACCGAUGGUCAGAGCGAGCGGACUAUACAGAACUUGGAGUAUAUGCUACGGGCAUAUGUUCCAAAUUUUGUCAGUAGUUAGGAUAUGUAACUCCCAUUGGCCGACUUUUCUUACAAUAGUGGCUAAGAAACCAAUAUUGAUCGACCCCCAUUUAAGAUGCUCUACGGGAAAAAGUAUCGGACACCGAUUUGCUGGGGGUGAGGUCGGUCAACUAGUUAUGGGUAGCACGAAGGUGGUGCUCCGGACUACCUAUCUGAUCCAAAAGGUGCAUGGGAGAUUGUAGAUCGCACUGAGCCGACAUAAGAGUUAUGAUUAUAGACGCCGGUCAGAUUUGGAGUUCCAGGUUUGGGAUAUGGUACUCCUAAAGGUGUCACCAUGGAAAGGUAUCAUCCAAUUCAGGAAGAGGGAAAACUUGGCCCUAGAUACAUCGGUCCUUUCAGGGUUAUUGUCUGGAUGGACAAGGUUGCCUAUUAUUCAGAGCUACAUGAGGAGCUUAGUAAUAUUGACAUCACUUCUCAUGUGUCUUAGCUGUGGUAGCGCUUAUUUGAUGAUUCCGCAGUGGUUCCUUUGGAGAACAUCCAGGUCGAUGAGUGCCUAAAUUACAAAGACAGACCAAUUUUGAUUCUAGACAAGAAAACGAAGACCUUACGAAACAAGGUUGUGGGUCUAGGAAAGGUGCAACAAAAGUACCAAAAGGGUUCAGAGUGGACGUGUGAGCUUGAGGAGGGGAUGAGAGAGCACUAUCCAAAGUUAUUUAUGGAGGCGGACUUCAAGGACGAAGUUUGAUUCAAUUGGAUGAGAAUUGUAACGACCGGUUCCCCAUUAUAUUUCUCAAGUUUUAACUAAUUUUUUUAUUGAAUGAAAAGUCGUUACGCUAAGUUUAAUUGUGUGUUACACUGCGUAGCGCAUUAAAAAGGAUCGUGGGUUCUUUCACGUACGAUGGGCAUAUGUAUGAUUAUGCUUAGUGUACUAAUGCAUAAUGGAACACUCUAAAUUUUAUGGUUUGGAACCUAUUUAAGCACCUUAUGUUCCCUUCUGGCAUAUUCAUGCUCAUCCUCCUUUCACCCCAAAGCAGUUAUUCGAACCUCUAGCCCCCAUUAGUGAAAGUUUUGUGACCAUUUAGCGUAUUUUGGAUUUUUGGUACUCUUAAUAGAAGAUGAAGUUCACUAUUGAAGGUUGGAGAAUCUCAUGCUCCUAGAUGCAAAACUUUUAACAUCAUUGCAACCUUAUGAAGGUAUAAAACGUGUACCUUGAUGUCUAUUUUUCUAGAUCUAGAAUUUGUCCAUGUUAUGCUAUGCUUUUGGUCCCAAGAUUUUCACUUUUGAGGAAUGGGUUACUCUAAAAUGUCAUGAGUUUCAUUUCUGGUCAUUUUGAAGUUCAUGAAUGUCACACCCUCGAACCAGACGGCGGACACGUCCGAGGGCUCGUGUGACUUAAAUUGAAUAUCAUUAAAAUGAAUAUACACGAAUCAUAACAUAAACAUCACCAUGCAUCAAUAUAAUACAACUGACAUGGUUCACAUCAAGUACAUUGUUUUAACAUUACAAAUCCAUGCAUAAAUGUUUGAUAGUUUUCAAAAGCAAAACACACUAACGUACUUGGUACUUAUUCCUCAGCUUACCUGUUACAUGAGAAUACAAGUUAUUUUGAGAAAUGAUCACCAUAUGGAAUGUUGAUGAGUUCAUAAGAAGGUUUGAUAUGAAACUGUUUUGUGUAGUUUUGAACGAAAACAACCCAGAAAAUCCGAUAUUUUUCUGAAAAUACCAUUGUUUAUAAAAAGGUGUGAACAUCCGUAAAUAUAUGCAUGAUGAUUUCAAAACAUGUAUAAUUGAAAAACUUUUUAUUAAACGUACAAGUGAAAAUGUUGAACAUCCCCGGAAAACCCGAUGUUUUCCAAAAUAAAAAUAUCAUAUAACGGUUUGCAUGGUUAUCCAUCACGUGAAUGAUUUUGAAUUACCUUGAUUACUUGAUUUAUAUUGGAUUUAUUUAUGUGAGUCUUUAUAACCAUGCAUGAUAAUGACUAGCUCGUUUAUCUUGGCACUGUUAUGAAUGCCGGAAUUGAUCUUAAGAUUUUGUCACCCUAGAGUGGCCGAGUCCAACAAUAGCGAACAUCUGAGGUGUAGGGGAGUCACCCCGUAUAGAUCUAUACACAAACUCUCGCUCUUCCUCCAGGAGAUUUUGAUUAUAACUACAGACUACGACCGACACACGUUGGUGUCACCCGUUAUCACUCACUAAAUCCCAAUUGACUUGAUUACUAUUGAUUAUCGACCUAUAUUUGUUUACUUGGACCUUACUAGCAGUACUAAUGGGCCACUAAGGCCCAACAACACUUAAAAGCCAUUAAGGGUCCCUUAAAUAUGAAAUUCGGUCAUAGGAGACCCAAUAACAUUUGCUAUUAUUCCUUAGGCCCAAAAUCAUGUUAAUGGGUGACAGAGGCCCAACAAACAUGAUUGGACUUUCAACCCCAAGGUUUGGAUUGUUUACUUGUUUUUAGGAAUUGUAUAAUUGUUGGAAGGUUUGAUUGGACGAUUGUUAUUUUGGAUUGGCACGAGGCCGCUCGGUUGUUGUUAACGAUUCUUGGAAUUAUACAUAUAUUCAUCUUCAAGAGUUGUAGUUUUGUAUUAUUGACUCAAAUAUCUUGACAGUAAAAGAAUUGAUUCAAAUUAUUGGUUGACCCAUUUCAGCCCUUCUUUAAUAAAGAUGACAAUUUUAGUCCCUUUUAUAAUAAAAAGACAUUUUAAGUCCUGAAAUCAUUUUCUUGACACAUUUGACCCAUAGACUUGUUCAAUUGAUAUUUUUAGCCCAAAAUUUAUUCUUUGACAGUUUCAGCCCUUCCAGAAAAGUGUUUUUCGGUUAAAGCCCAAACUUUUGCAACUUUUACAAUUUUGGCUCAAAAUCGAAAAACUUUACAUUUUUUAUCCUUUUUGGUAAAGAAAACCAUUUUAACCCGUGAAAUAAUUUUGUUUACGCUUUUUAUCCCCUGUUUUGAGGAAUUUAUCAUUUUAGCCCUUUGAAAAUCAUGUUUUUCGCAACUUUGGGCUUAAUGGGCCGAAAAGCCCAAAAAUUGGCCCAUUAAGCUAAUAUUUACAUUUCAAGUCCUGUGAAGAGCAUAAUCUUCAUAAAAAACAUUUAUUUUAACUGUUUUCACUCUUUUGAACCUCAAGAAAACCGUGAAUGGUACUUUUCACCCAACUUUUGUUUAGUUGACAAUUUAAGCCACAAAAAUUUGCUUUAUGUUACAAUAUGUUUAUUUUAAUCUUGGAGGGUAUUUUUCUUGACUCUUUUAGUGUGGUAUACCUUAGAUCAUGUUUUUUUCCUUCUUAUGUCAUAUAUCUCGAGAUUUCUUCUCGUUUUGGUUGCAUAUUUACCACAUAAACACUUACAAUCACACAUACAUGCAUAAAAUCAUACAUAGCACACACAUACACAUAGAUCUACACAUUUUACUUGUAUUCUCCCGCAUAAAACUUGUAAAAACCGGAAAAAUAGGGGUAUGAACUCACCAAGAGGUUUAAAUUUGGUUUUGAUGAAGAUUUGAGGGAAGAUUUCGGCCUAACAAGCUUCUUUAGAAGUCCUUGAGCUUAGAUUGCUUCUAAGGAGUAUGAUCCUGAAGUUGAAUGAAUUAAAAGAUGAUUUAUGAUGAGGUAUAGAAGUUAAACUUUGUAUUUAAGUAAGAACUUACCAAGACUUGUAACUUGAAGCGAUUUUUGAAUGAAAAACUCCUUGGAAUGCUUCUAAUUCUAAAAAAUUUGGAUGAAAAGGAGAAGAGGGUUCUUAUGUGUUUGAGAGAGAUUUUUGAGAGUGUUUGUGCGUUUUUCCUUGGUGUUCUCAGCCGAAGAAGAAAAGAGAGGGGAGAAGAGAGAUAUAAGGAUGUGAUGGAUGCAUGGGAACAUGAGAUGUUUGCAUGGAAGACCAAAAUAUAAUAAGGAGGUGGCGAACCCUCCUUAUUUCAUCAAUUUCCAUUUUUUUUUGUUUUCUUCUUCUUGGGCCGAGAAAGGGAUAAGAGAGAAAAAGAUUUGGGCCUUGUAUGCUUAAGCCCAUAUUACGAUCCACUUCGAUGAUUUUUGGCCUAAUUGGUCUUUGGAGAGGGUUCACGGCCCAAAAUAAAUCAAGUAUAAGUUUUUAUGGCCCAUUAGGGCUAAUUAGGUUAGUUAUGGCCCAAUAAGGUCCAUUAAGGUAUUUUAUUUCAUUCUAGGCUUGAUAUGACCCAGAAUAUUAAAAUAAAUGGAAGUGGGUCCAAUUAGAGCCCAUUUAAGAGUUCUAAGCCCAAGAUAGUAAAAUUGGAAGCUUAUUAGCCCAUUAGGCCCAAUAAGGAAGUCCUAGUCCAAAAUAGACUUAAACCGGGAUUUCUAGGGUUUCCAAUGCGAGAAUAGGUGAGGGUACUUCUGCUUCAUCUAGUCUUCAUGUUCCCAUGUGAAUUCUAGCCCACGCUUCGCGUUCCACCAUACCUUCACAAUCGGAAUGCGACUUUGCUUAGUACGCUUCACCUCCCUGUCCAUUAUUACGACUGGUUCUUCGACGAAUAGGAGAUUCUCAUUGAUUUCUAUUUCUUCAAGGGGAAUGACGAGGGUUUCGUCGGAUAAACACUUUUUCAAAUUGGAAACAUGGAACACAGGGUGUACACUGCUGAGCUCAACGGGUAGUUGUAGUCUAUACGCCACUGGACCGAUUCGGGCAAGAAUCUCGAAGGGUCCAAUGUAUUGUGGAUUCAACUUUCCCCGUUUUCCAAAACGAAUAACCCCUUUCCUAGGAGAGACCUUUAACAACACUCGAUCCCUGACUUGAAACUCCAAGGGCUUUCACCUUUUAUCAACGUAACUCUUUUGUCCGUCGCAUGAUGCUUGUAGUCGAGCUCUGAUGUGAACUAUCUUCUCCGUUGUUUCACGUAUGAUCUCCGGUCCCAUUAACGCAUUGUCUGAUGUCAGUCCUCUCGCUAGCUGGGUUUCACCUACCUCAACCCAACACAACGGUGAUCUACAUUUACGUCCAUACAAUGCCUCGAAAGGAGCAACUUUGAUGCUCAUGUGAUAACUGUUGUUGUACGAGAAUUCGAUUAAAGGUAAGUGGGUAUCCCACGAAUUUCCAAAGUCUAUCACACACGCGCGAAGCAUGUCUUCAAGUGUCUGAAUGGUUCGUUCGCUUUGACCAUCCGUUUGCGGAUGAUAUGCAGUGCUUAUGUCGAGAUGUGUUCCCAGUGCUUUCUGAAGUGAUUGCCAAAAGCGUGAAGUGAAUCUACUAUCUCUAUCCGAUGAUAGAUACUGGCACUCCAUGAUGUCUCAGAAUUUCCUUGAUGUAUAUCCUCGUCAACCUCUCCAUCUUGUAGGAUUCUUUUAUUGGCAGGAAAUGAGCGGAUUUUGUCAAUCUGUCGACUAUUACCCAUAUGGUGUCCAAUCCAUCUAUUGACUUGGGUAAUUUGGUCGCAAAGUCCAUAGUAAUACUUUCCCAUUUCUACUUGGGAAUUACUGGUUGCCGUAAUAAUCCCGAGGUUUUCUGAUAUUCCACCAUCACUUUAGCACAAGUAAGACAUUUGCUAACAUAGGUGGCAAUGUCUGCCUUCAUGUUGGGCCACCAAUAAUGUUGCUUAAUGUCCACGUACAUUUUAUCUGAACCCGGAUGGAUGGAUUAUCAUGUCUUGUGGGCUUCAUUCAUGACUACCUCUCUGAAUCCGCCAAGUUUAGGGACCCAAAUGCAGUUCAUGAAAUAAUAUGCUCCAUCCUCUUUCACUUCGAGACUCUUUUCCAUUCCAUGUAAUGCUUCAUGCGUUCUGUUUUCCGCCUUCAUGGUAUUCAACUGGGUUGUUCUGAUUUGCGAGGUCAGGUGGGAUUGGAUGGUUAUCAAGAGAGUUUUCACACGAUGAUUUGAGUAUUCUUUCCUACUCAAGGCAUCAGCUACCACAUUAGCCUUUCCUGGGUGGUACUUGAUUUCACACUUGUAAUCGUUUAGUAGCUCAACCCAUCUUCGUUGCCUCAUGUUCAACUCUUUUUGAUUUAGGAUGUGUUGGAGGUUCUUGUGAUCCGCGAAAAUGGCACAAUUUGUACCAUAAAGGUAGUGCCUCCAUAUUUUCAAGGCGAAGAGCAUAGCUCCCAAUUCCAAAUCGUGGGUUGUGUAAUUCACCUCAUGUGUCUUUAGUUGUCGGGAUGCAUAAGCUAUCACCUUCCAAUGCUGCAUAAGUACGCAACCUAGACCCUGAUUCGACGCAUCGUAGUAAACUAGAAAGUCCUUUGUUCCUUCUAGUAGUGAUAGUAUUGGUGCACUGCAGAGUGCUUGCUUCAGAGUUUGAAAUGCAACCUGUUGCUUAUCUGUCCAUUCAAAGGUAACACUCUUUUGUGUAAGCAUGGUAAGUGGCUUGGCUGACUUAGAGAAGUUCUGGAUGAACCUCCUGUAAUAGCCUGUAAGACCUAAAAAUUGGCGAAUUUUUGUGGGUGUCGUUGGGAUUGCCCAUCCUUCAAUGGCUUUGACCUUAGAAGGAUCCACAUGUAUCCCUUCUUGACUAACAACAUGACCCAAAAAGUUCACACUAUGGAGCCAGAACUCACACUUAGAGUAUUUUGCGUAUAACUUUUCGGUUCGCAGGGUUUCCAGGAUUUUUCGGAGGUGUUGGCCAUGUUCCUCUUCGCUUCGAGAAUAGAAUAAAAUGUUGUCAAUGAAAACGAUGACAAAUUUGUCAAGGAAUGGUCGGCAGAUUCGAUUCAUUAGGUCCAUGAAUGCGGCAGGGCAAUUCGUUAGACCGAAGGGCAUUACGAGAAAUUUAUAAUGUCCAUAACAAGUUCGGAAAGCGAUUUUGGGGAUGUCCUCUUCUUGGACAUUGAGUUGACGAUACCCAGAUCGUAGAUCUGUCAUAGAGAAAUAGCUGGCGCCUUGAAGUUGGUCAAAUAGAUCGUCAAUUCACGGGAGUGGAUAGCGAUUUUUGACAGUGAGCUUAUUUAGUUCCUUGUAGUCAAUGCACAUCCUAAAAGAUCCGUCUUUCUUCGUAACAAAGAGAACCGGAGCUCCCCAUGGUGAGAAACUGGGUCGGAUGAAUCCUUUGUCCAAAAGUUCACUGAGUUGGCUGGACAAUUAUUGCAUCUCCACAGGAGCCAACCUGUAAGGCGAUUUGGCAAUGGGAGUAGCUCCUGGCACAAGAUUAAUUCGAAACUCGACUUGUCUUUCUGGGGGUAUCCCUGGAAGAUCUUCAGGAAAGACAUCCGGGAAGUCACAAGCUACUGGAAUUUCUUGAUUGUUGACCUCUUCCUUGGAUUUAUCCACUAUAUGAGCCAGAAACAUCAAGUCCUUCUUUCGUAGAUACUUCUGUGCCUUAAUGCAUGUGAUAAUACGAACGUUUGUGCUAGGUUUGUCUCCGUAUAUAAUUAGGGUUUCGCGAUUCGGAAGGUGAAGGCGAACAGCCUUCUCAUGACACAUAAUCUUAGAUGGUGGGGCUUAACCAAUCCAUGCCAAUAAUCACAUCAAAACUCCUAAUGGAAACAAGCAUUAAGUUUAUUCAAAAGACGUGUUGGUUUUAGGCUAGGGUACAUCCGAUAUAGAUUUCCCCAGUGGAUUCUGUUUUGCCAUUGGCCAUUUCCACCGUAAAGGUUUCAUUAAGCUGCUGGGGUUGUUGUUUUAAAAAGUGUUUAAAUGUAUUGCUCACAAAGCUUCAUUCUGCUCCGUUAUCAAAUAGGAUGCAUGCAUAAGUGUGGUUUAGGAGAAACGUACCGGUGACAACAGCGGGAUCCUGAACCGNNNNNNNNNNNNNNNNNAACCGCUUCUCCCUGACCCAUGGUCAGCACUCUUCCUGUUCCUCCAUUCCCAGGAUUGUUGUAGUUGGGGCAGUUUCGACGGAAAUGCCCAGUCUUUCCACAUCCAUACCAAGUGUGGCUCAGUCCUGCAUUGUUGUCGUUGUUGUUGGUGUUGUUGUUGUUGCUACGGUUGUUAUUGUUGUUGUUUCCUUGCUGCUGACUCUGGGGACGACAGGUCCUGCAAUAUUUUUCCGUGUGACCCUUUUGAUUGCAGCUGGUGCAAUGCAUCUCUCUGCAUUCUCCAUUAUGAUGGAGACUGCACUUGUCACACUUUGGAAGACAAAUUAGCAUACAAUCAUGGAUAUAUAACACGUAGCAUACUACCACAUCACAGUAGAAGACAUAAAAUUUUCCAUUAAUAUUAUCCGCACUUUGAUACAUAAAAAUUUGCUCGAAAGAGCAUACAUAAGCGGUGCAAGUUCGGCAGCGUAACGACUCUAUGAGUAGUGUAAUCACUUAAACAUAGAUUUGAUGGUACAUAGCAUAGAUCAUAGUACUAAUAAGGUAAGUCUACUCCUAACACUCUAUGGAGCUCCCUAUGACUGCCGCGAGGUCAUAUACCGAAGUGUUGUGCGUUAUAGGCCAUCUCAGUCAUUUCUUCAAUGACUUCAUCCCUCUCCUACUCAACUUGCACUACUUGUGCUUUCAUGGAGAAUAGUUGUUGCCGCAGAGCAGCAUUCUCAGCUUCUGGAGAGCGAUUCUCCCUUGUGAGAUUUCUGGUGGGGCAGGAUGGUCCUGUUGCGCCUCGCUGACAAGUGAUGUGGCAGAGUCCUUGCCGGAGUCUUGUUCUUCCGCCAUGUCAUCAUCAGUCCCAUCAAACUCAUAGUCUGAGUCCGUGUACUCGUCAGGCCCCACGUCGUGUGCUCCCCCUGUUCUCCCUCAGGCUCAUCUUCGAUCAUCCCGUGAGCCACUAUGACCUGAUGAAACUGAAUGCCCUGGUGCUCCCCUUCCAUGGUGACUGAGAGGAGGUAUAUGAAUAAACUAUCAUUAAUCCUAAGACAUAUUAAUUAUUGUAUAAAUUGAGUUGAUGCUCUCUUCUUGGUGAUAAAGGAGUAUGUUUUUAGGUUUUCCUACCAUCGCGAUUUCCUCGGGGCAUGUGAUAGUUUUACCUCAGAGGAAAUGUAGUUGAUCAGGCUACAUUCACUCCCUAAUACGACUAUGAACAGUCCCAACUUAACGAGAUGCUAGCAUUAUCUAAUUUGAUUUGGUAUUAUGUUAUUUUUCCUAUGAUUUACGAGUAGGGGUGUUUUAUCAUUGUGUUUUAUUUGUUUUGUUUUGUUCAGAGUUGUUUUGUCCAUCUUUGGUUUAUUGUUGCGUAUCGAUGUGUGGUUAGAUAUGUUAGUUCACUAUAAAAAGAGCUUUGAUACCAACCUGUCACACCCCUGAACCAGACGGCGAAAACGUCCGAGGGCUCGUGUGACUUAAAUUGAAUACCAUCACAAUGAAUAUACAUGAAUCAUAACAUAAACAUCACCAUGCAUCAAUAUAAUACAACUGAAAUUGUUCACAUCAAGUACAUUGUUUUAACAUUACAAAUCCAUACAUAAAUUGUUUGAUAGUUUUCAAAAGCAAAACACACUAACGUACUUGGUCCUUAUUCCUCAGCUUACCUGUUACCUAAGAAUACAAGUUAUUUUGAAAAAUGGUCAACAUAUGUAAUGUUGGUGAGUUCAUAAGUAGGUUUGAUAUGAAAAUGUUCUGUGUAGUUUUGAACGAAAACAACCCAGAAAAUCCGAUAUUUUCUGAAAAUACCAUUGUUUAUAAAAAGGUGUGAACAUCCGUAAAUAUAUGCAUGAUGAUUUCAAAACAUGUAUAAUUGAAAAACAUUGUAUUAAACGUACAAGUGAAAAUGUUGAACUUCCCCGGAAAACACGAUGUUUUCCAAAAUAAAAAUAUCAUAUAACGGUUUGAAUGGUUAUCCAUCACGUGAAUGAUUUUGAAUUACCUUGAUUACUUGAUUUAUAUUGGAUUUAUUUAUGUGAGUCGUUAUAACCAUGCAUGAUAAUGACUAGUUCGUCUGUCUUGGCACUUUGGUGAAUGACGGAAUUGAUCUUAAGAUUUUGUCACCCUAUACUGGCCGAGUCUAACUGUAGCAAACAACUGAGGUGUGGGGGAGUGACCCCCGUAUAGAUCUAUACACAAACUCUCGCUCUUUCUCCAGGAGACUUUGAUUAUAACUACAGACUACGACCGACACACGUUGGUGUCACCCGUUAUUACUCACUAAGUCCCAUUUCACUUGAUUACUAUUAAUUAUCGACCUGUAUUUGUUUACUUGGACCUUAGUAGGAGUAUUAAUGGGCCACUAAGGCCCAAUAGCACAUAAAAGCCAUUGAGGGUCCCUUAAAUAUGAAAUUAGAUCGUAGGAGGCCCAAUAACAUUUGCUAUUAUUCCUUAGGCCCAAAAUCAUGUUAAUGGGUCACAGAGGCCCAACAAGCAUGAUUGGACUUUCAAGCCCAAGGUUUGGAUUGUUUACAUGUUUUUAGGAAUUGUAUAAAUUGUUAGAAGGUUUGAUUGGACGAUUUUUAUUUUGGAUUGGCACGAGGCCGCUCGGUUGUUGUUACGAUUCUUGGAGUUAUACAUAUAUUCAUCUUCAAGAGUUGUAGUUUUGUAUUAUUGACUCAAAUAUCUUGACAGUAAAAGAAUUGAUUCAAAUUAUUGGUUGACCCAUUUCAGCCCUUCUUUAAUAAAGAUGACAAUUUUAGUCCCUUUUAUAAUAAAAAGACAUUUUAAGUCCUUAAAUCAUUUUCUUGGCACAUUUGACCCAUAGACUUGUUCAAUUGAUAUUUUUAGCCCAAAAUUUAUUCUUUGACAGUUUCAACCCUUCCAGAAAAGUGUUUUUCGGUUAAAGCCCACACUUUUGCAACUUUUACAAUUUUGGCCCAAAAUCCAAAAACUUUACAUUUUUUAUCCUUUUUGGUAAAGAAAAGCAUUUUAACCCGUGAAAUACCUUUUUUUACCCUUUUUAUCCCCUUUUUUGAGGAAUUUAUCAUUUUAGCCCUUUGAAAAUCAUGUUUUUCGCAACUUUGGGCUUAAUGGGCCGAAAAGCCCAAAAAUUGGCCCAUUAAGCUAAUAUUUACAUUUCAAGUCCUUUGAAGAGCAUAAUCUUCAUAAAAACAUUUAUUUUAACUGUUUUGACUCUUUUGAACCUCAAGAAAACCGUAAAUGGCAACUUUUCACCCAACUUUUGUUUAGUUGACAAUUUAAGCCCCAAAAAAUUUGUUUUACGUUACAAUAUGUUUAAUUUAAUCUUGGAGGGUAUUUUUCUUUACUCUUUUAGUGUGGUAUACCUUAGAUCAUGCUUUUUUUCCUUCUUAUGUCAUAUAUCUCGAGAUUUCUUCUCUUUUUGGUUGCAUAUUUACCACACAAACACUUACAAUCACACAUACAUGCAUAAAAUCAUACAUAGCACACACAUACACAUAGAUCUACACAUUUUACUUGUAUUCUCCUGCAUAAAACUUGUAAAAACCGAAAAAUAGGGGUAUGAACUCACGUUGAGGUUUGGAUUUGGUUUUGAUGAAGAUUUGAGAGAAGAUUUCGGCCUAACAAGCUUCUUUAGAAGUCCUUGAGCUUAGAUUGCUUCUAAGGAGUAUGAUGAUGAAGUUGAAUGAAUUAAAGAUGAUUUCUAAUGAGGUAUAGAAGCUAAAAUUUGGAUUUAAGUAAGAACUUACCAAGACUUGUAACUUGAAGUGAAUGUUAAAUGAAAAACUCUUUGGAAUGCUUCUAAUUCUCGAAAAUUUUAAUGAAAUGGAGAAGAGGGUUCUUAUGUGUUUGGGAGAGAUUUUUUAGUGUGUGUGUGUGUGUGUGUGUUUCCUUGGUGUUCUUGGCCGAAGAAGAAAAGAGAUGAGAGAAGAGAUAUAUAAGGAUGUGAUGGAUGCAUAGGAACAUGAGAUGGUUGCAUGGAAGACCAAAAUAUAAUAUGGAGGUGGCUAACCCUCCUUAUUUCAUCAAUUUCCAUUUUUUUUAUUUCUUCUUCUUGGGCCGAGAAUGGGAUCAGAGAGAAAAAGAUUUGGGCCUUGUAUGCUUAAGCCCAUAGUAUGAUCCAAUUAGACGAUUUUUGGCCCAAUUGGUCUUUAGAGAAGGUUCACGGCCCAAAAUAAAUAAAGUAUAAGUUUUUAUGGCCCAUUAGGGCUAAUUAGGUUAGUUAUGGCCCAAUAAGGUCCACUAAGAUAUUUUAUUUCAUUCUAGGCCCGAUAUGGCCCAAAAUAUUAAAAUAAAUGGUAGUGGGUCCAAUUAGAGCCCAUUUAAGAGUUCUAAGCCCAAGAUAGUUAAAUUGGAAGCUUAUUGGCCCAUUAGGCCAAAUAAGGAAGUCCUAGUCCAAAAUGGACUUAAACCGAGAUUUCUAGGGUUUCCAAUUCUUUGUUGACUAUUUGAUGUGCUUGUAUAAAGUGUUUGAUGGAAGUUUUGUUGUUAUUGAAUAAGCAUCAUACAUGCUUUCACAUUUUUGGUUCACAUUUGUUAUCAUUGUUGUUGUUACAAAGCAUGAAAAUUCCUAGUUGUGACAAUGAGGUCAUAAAACUUGGAGCUUUGACACUCCUCUUCAUGCAUGCAUGAGCUUUUGGACAUUAUAGUGUACUUUGGAUGUAGCAUUUCCAUUUAUGCCAUAUUGAGCAAUGCAAAGGCAUCAAGUAGUCGACUUUAUUAGUUAAUACGUCCCAUAGGUUGAGAUAAAUGAGAUGUAUGAAAGGUUUUUAUGCAUUAAGAUCUUAAUAUAAAGUUAUGGACUUGUAGCUAGUACGCUCAGUGUAAUAAAUCUAACCUAUCCCCUUUCGGUGAAGGACUUGUGCAGAGGGAGUAUGCAGCGUGUACACAUAGUGUACUCACCUGAACACCUUUUGGGCCAUUUUUUGAAUUAAUUUCAGUUUGGGUCACGGGCCAUGGCUAGAUGGUACUAGAUUAGGAUGGUUAAAAGGGUCUUUUAGCCUUUGUAAGAGGGAUUACAAUGUUGGGCCUAUAUUUGCGGGUUAUUACCCUUAAUAGUGAUUAGGGUUGCUUUGAAUUUUUUAAUCUUAGGAACCAUUAUAGCAGUAUCUUGUGUGUGAUUGUUUAUAAUCGGAAUGAGGUGAUUCUCCUCACCAUACUCGUGGGUCGAAGGCACCAAUGCUGUCCCACUGGAUUAUUUUGUAGAGUGCUAGUUGUCUGUGUGAUACUUGCAUGUAUUGUAAGUUGGACGCGGCCCGUCAUGCGAGUUAGACUGAGGCCUGUUACUUGUAUGGUAUGUGCUAUUUUUGGGGAACUCACUAAGCUUUGUGCUUAUGGUUUUAGUUUAUGUUCCUGGUACUUUCGGUUUUAGGACUUUUGUUUGUGCGAGUUAACUAUUAAGUGAAUAUGUUAACUUACAUGUUGUAAAGGUUAAAUAAUCUUAGAGUUGUUGAUUUGGUCCUCUAGUGCAGCUCUCAUCUGAGUCUAACCAUUGUAAGUUUGAGUCAUUUAGUCAAAAGAUUCUCCAUUAUUUGAUGCAUUUAAAUGUAUUCAUGAAGUAGUUAACUAACAUAAGUAGGAGUUCUUCACCAGCUGAUGGCAGAGUGAGGUCGGAAACCUAGGAGAGCCUAGGAAGUGAUUUAGUGGGUUUUGAUGUGUUGUUUAAAAAGUACUUGGAGUAGCAGUUUGAGAAAGUGACUUAGAGGAUUCAAGAUAUUUGUUAAGGAAUGUAUUGAUAUGUGUGGAAGGUAGUAUUAGGCCCACACUACUGAAAGCAUUUGAACCGUACUCUAUUCAAGUAAAGUCACAAAGAUUCUAGGAAGCCUGUAAGAUGAAGAAUUUUGUGAGUAUGUCAUGAUUAUUUUAUGAUUGAUUUUCAACAUGUCAUGAGAACUCAUAGAGGAGGAUCUGGUUCAGGCUCUGGUGUUGGUGUUGAGCCGAUUGGUGAGUAGAUGCGAAGUUCAUAUCGUCAGAGAUCAUCCACAAUAUUUUGCAGCAGACUCUUGUGAUCAUUGGUAUGGUUAAGGAAGGAAUCAUAGAGAUUACAGGUAAGCAUCGAGGUAUGCUUCGUAUUGGGAUUGUCAAGCUGCUCGACGAGCAACUUGGGGCCUUCCAGGUCGAGGUCGCGAUAGGUCAGUCCGAACGUCGGACUCCCUCUUUUCAGGUGUUGAUGGCAUGUGGAGCUCCAAAAUUCAUUAUGGAUAAGGACCCUAUUGAUAGUCGUCUAUGGAUCGUUGGCACGGAAAAUUCUCAUUGAAUAAGGUUCUGUUCAAACACAGAGAAGGUGGGAUUUCCAUCCUAAAUUCUGAGACACCGAGCUCGUGACUAGUAGGAGGAGGUCGAAUUAGUAGUUGUUUGUUACGAGAUUACAAGAGGAUGUGGUGGCCAUGAAUUAGUAGUUUUUUGUUACGAGAUUACAAGAGGAAGUGGCACCAUCGAUUAACGUGCAACAACUACUGAGGGAGUUUGAAGACCUUUUCCAGACUACUAAGACUGUAGCAGAGAUCCCUAUCAGAUUCAAAGAAAGGGAGUUGUUGGUUUUGUAGUAUGUUGCACACGAGGAGAUGAGGAAGACAUGUUAUCAUGAUAUGUUGUUGCAUGACAUCAAAGAGGCUGUGAGAUUUUCGGGGUGCAGGAACCUGAACAACAUGAUUGCUACAACCUGAGAACCAGAGAUUGAGCUGGAGCUUUGGGUAAAGCGCUAGCCAGAGUAGGUCUAAACCGUAGUGGGCCAAGCAAAGAGGCCUAAGACUCCAACUAGUGAUUCGGAGGCCAUUAGGGGUGGAGCCAUUGUGACAAGUGUGGGAGGACUCACAAGGGGAGAUGUCAUGAGAAUGGAAGGGGGUGUUUUAGUUGCGGUCAGACUAGUUAUUUUAGUGGGGAUUAUACUCGAGGCUUGUUUCCUAUGUGUUUCUACUGCAAUCAGGCGGGACAAAAGAAGUCCGAAUGUCCGAGAUUGAUGAGUGGAUCAGUGAGAGCACCUACUCCAGCUACAUUGAGAAUAAUCAACAGUUGUGAGGGUAGGGCGGAGGCUCCAGUGGUAAGGAGUGGAGGACUUUAGCUAUAGGCUGAGGAGACACGAGUUCCACCAGAUUCUAUUGUAGGUACGUUUCAUUCUAAUUUUCUUCAUGCCUUAUUAUAUUCAUGUUUUUUUUAUCAUAUACCUAUUUAUGUGAGAUAUUAUGUUUGGUUUAGUUAUGUCCCAACCUAAGGAUCGUAGUUCUUUAUGAUUACCUUGGUAUUAUAAUCGAAUGAUCAUCAUAUGCUAUUUUGCAUGUCGAGAGUCAUGAUUGGAGUGUAUUCAGUAAUGUCAUCCUUUUAACCUUUUUGGGAUUAUACUUCAAUCACUAUUAAUUGUAUCUAGAAUAUAAACACCAACUAAUUACAUAAUUGUAGAAUAUUCUAAAAGGGCAUUUAUAUUAUUAUAUACAAACCCACCAAGAAUAAGUUUUGUUAUUCCUCUAAAAGUUGAGUUAGCAGAAAGUAAGCUUCUAAUGACAAAGAAAGUAGGAGGCACAUGGAAGUUGAAGUAGUUCAAGAACCAUAGCCUGAUGUAACAAUUGUUGGCACUAGUCUUAACAAGAAAUUUUUAAACAUGAAUAAUAACUAUUCAUAAACACAAAAUUGUUCACAAUAAUGGUAGAAAUCAUCUAUGACUUGAAAAAUGUGGAAUCUCUCAUUGAUGAGUUCUUAAUGGUUUAUAGUUAAACCAUCCACUACCAAAAUGUUAUAUCAGAUUAUGGAUCUGAAAAAUGAGUCAAAGUCAUGAACAUUGAGAUGUAAUCCAUGUUUAAUAGUCAAGUAUGGGCUUGAUUAAUCUUCCUCUCUAUAGCAAGGCCAGAAGGAGUAAGAGAUUCUUCUAGAAAGAAUAUAUACAUGGAAGUAAUAUCGGUGACACCAAUUGCGACGACCUGUCACUGCCAUUGAUAAUGAUCCGCGUGAAUGUCAUCGUGACCGUUGGAUUAUUUUUCAAUCGGACAGCUAAUAGGCACCAAAGAAUAGCACGGAUUUUUUCCUCCAAUCGGUCGAUGCUAUUACGCUAGGGUCAACGCUAAAGGUGUUUCCGCUAACUACAACGAUGACCCCUUCGUCCCAGACGACUCGGUUUCUGCGUGUUAUCAUCCCUCUCGCAUAACUACAGCGACUAAUGUUUUCUGGUGUGUUUUCCCGGCGUAGUAUACCAACGCAAACCACUUGUAACUAUAGAUUGAUUCUAGUCCUUCAUUUUCCAGUGAUGUUUGUGAAUUUUCAGCGUUUUUUGGUGAAUUCCUAGUUUCUCCGUAGACAAUAAACCUCUGGUAAGGUGCGUUUUCUCUUCCCAUUUAUCUUUCAUUUGUUUUCUUACCAAUAUGUAACACUAAUUUCAUUUUUUUCUUUCUAGUAAUCUUGGGUCAUGACCACUACCACAACACCACCGUUGUCACCAUUUUCGACGAUCGGUAGAAUUUUCCGGCAACAGUUGCCAUAUUCUGGCAAUAGCAAGUUCUUUUUUUUUCUGUUUUUAGUGUAUAUGAAAUGUAUGUGAAAUGUUUAUAUAUUGGUAUGUGAAAUGUGUAUAUUUUGGUAUGUGAAGUCUAUAUGCAAUGUAAUAAUAUGUACGUAAAAUCUAUAUGCAAAUGUGUAUGUCGGAAUAUGUAUGAAAAAAUGUAUAUGUAUGUGUAUGCAUGAAAAGUGUAUGUUAAAAUGUGUGUAUAAUUGUAUUUCUAUGUGAAAUAUAUGUAUAUGUGUAUAUAUAUAUAUAUAUAUAUAUAUAUAUANAAAAAUCUAUGUAUAUGAAAUGUAGGCAUUUUUAUGUGAAAAUGUAGGUGUUUGUAUGUGAAAUGUAUAUAUUAUUUCUAUAUGAAAUGUAUUUGUAUGCAUGAAAAAAUAUAUGUGAAAAAAUAUGUUUAAGUGCAUUUGUAUGUGUGUAUAUGGUAUGUUAUGAUAAAAUAUAUGUAUAUUGGAUGUAUAUGUAUGUUAUGACAGAAUGUCAUAAUUAAAAAAAAAAUGUUAUAAAUUACAAUGUCUUUUUAAAGUAUUAUAAUAUAAUAAAAACAAAAACAAAAUAAUUAAGAUAAAUAAUAAAAUUAAGUUGAUAUUAAAAAUCAAAAUAUGGAAAAAAAAAAAGAUGAUAUAAAUAACAAAUAUAUAAUAUCAUUUAAUUAAAGUACAAUGUUAUAAUAAAAAUUAAAAAUAAAAAAUUAGGAUGCUAAAUCUACUAGGUUAUAAUUACUCACAAUAGAAAAAUAAAAACAAAAGUAAGUUGAUAUUAAAAAUCAAUUAUUGAAAAAAAAUAUGAUAUAAAUAACAAAUAUAUAAUAUCGUUUAAAGUACAAUGAUAUAAUAAAAAAUAAAAAACUAAAAAUUAAGACGCUAAAUCUACUAAAUUAUAAUUUACUCAAAAUAGAAAAAUAAAUACAAAAUUAAGUUAGUAUUAAAAAUCAUCAUAUGAAAAAGAAAAUGUUACAAAUAACAAAUAUAUAAUAUCAUUUAAAGUAGAAUGUAAUAAUAAAAAUUAAAAAUUAAAAAUUAAGACGGUAAAUCAUUAAGUUAUAAUUUAUUCAAAAUAGAAAAAUAAAAACAAAAAUAAGUUGAUAUUAAAAAUCAAAAUAUGAAAAAAAUAUAUGAUAUAAAUAAGAGAUGUAUAAUAUCGUUUAUAGUACAAUGCUAUAAUAAAAAAUAAACAUUAAAAAUUAAGACGUUAAAUCUAUUAAUUUAUAAUUUACACAAAAUAGAAAAAUAAAAACAAAAUUAAGUUUAUAUUAAAAAUCAAAAUAUGGAACAAAAAAAUGAUAUAAAUAACAAAUAUAUAAUAUUGAUUAAAGUACAAUCUUAUAAUAAAAAAUAAAUAUAAAAAAUUUGGACGCUAAAUCUACUAAGUUAUAAUUCAUUCAAUAUAGAAAAAUAAUAACAAAAAAUAAGUGGAUAUUAAAAAUCAACAUAUUAAAAAAAAGAUAAUAUAAAUAACAAAUAUAUAAUAUCGUUUAAGAUACAAUGUUAUAAUAAAAAAUAAAAAUGAAAAAUUAAGACGCUGAAUCUACAAAGUUAUAAUUUAUCCAAAAUAGAAAAAUAAUAACAAAAAUAAGUUGCUAUUUAAAAUCAGCAUGUGAAAAAAAAAUGAAAUUAGGUUUCUUCUUUUUAAAUAAGCAAAAACCUAGAAAUAUCCGUCUGAAAUUGAUUUACAAAUUAAAUUCGGGUUGUCCCCGUUUUGGGACUACUUUUUGAAUACCUUACGUCAUUUACGAUUUAAAUAUGUAUUACAUGAUUGAUUGUUUAAGAAAUAUUCGGUUGUUAUUUUCUCUUUGCUCCUCGGGUAUAUAAUCAUCAUACUAUAUUAUAACGGAGACAUUUUUUUUCUUUCACAACAUUCAUCUGAAACUCCCAUAACUUUUCAAUUUCUUUCUAAUAAUGAUUAUAAGUUGGUUAAUAAAAUUAAAUAAAUAUCAAACCUAAAGUGUAAUCAUAUAUAAAGUAAAUUUCAAUAUUAAAAGAAUAUUUUUACUUCUACUUAUAAAGUUAUGUUUUUUUUACAUCUUACAUAUCAUACUUAAUUUAUUAGUUUUAAUAUAUUGUUGGAUGUAAACCAUUAUCGUUUUAAAGUUACAACUUUUGAACAAUUUGUAUAAAAUAUUCAAAUUAUAAACAUAAAUGUAACAUUACAGGGCCAACUUAAAUAUAAAUUUUAGUUUAACUUAAACAACCCAAAUAAUAUUUUGUCAAUAGUUAUAAGCGAUAACUUGUAGUGUCUCUAAUAAUGAUUAUAAUUUGGUUAAUAAGGGUAAAUAAAUAUCAAACCUAAAGUGUAAUCAUAAAUAAACUAAAUUUCAAUAUUAAAAUAAUAUAUUUACUUCUACUUAUAAAGUUAUGUCUUUAACUUUUAACAUAUUAUACUUAAUUUAUUAGAUUUAAUAUGUUAUUGUAUGUAAACCGUUAUCAAUUUAAAGCUAAAUGCAAAAACUAAAUUAUAAUAUCAGUUUAACUAAAAUAUUUUCUAAAGAUAUUUGUAUAAUUGUUAAAAGUUUUCGAAUAAGUAGCUUAAAAUAACUUAGAAUAACAAUAUUAAAAAAAUAACUCUAAAUAAAUGAUUAUUUUGUUACCUUUAAAAUUAAAAAACAAUGUCUGAUGUUUUAAAUAAUUAUAAUGAUAGAAAUUAAAAAUGUAAGAAAAUAAAUUUAAAAAAAUAAUUAAAAAUAUCAAAAACUAUAAAUAACAUUAAGCCAUAUAUUAUAUUUAAUUUUAUUCAUUAGUAACUUGCGGACAGAAGUCAUUCAAACGGUUAAGAUUAUACAAUUAUAAUAGAUGUAUAUAUUAUCAUAUAAUUCAAAAAUAAUCAAUAUAUUAUAUCAAUUUAGUAUACAAAUUAUUAUAUCAAAUUUAACAACAACGUUAUUGUUAUAUUUAAAAAAAACAUAUAAUUGUAAAGAUAUCAACUAUAUAGGUGUUUCAGCGCAACGCGCGGGCAUUCGCCUAGUUUUAUAUAAACUUAGGAGAUAAGGGGAAAUGCUGCCAAAUUUUUUUUAAAAUGUUCAAUCGUGUUAUACACAUUUUAUAUGAGGUAAGCUAUUUAAAAAGUGGUUUUAGAAGCCUACCCUUGUGAAUACUAUUUCGUUGUCCGGUUUUCUAUUCCAUCUAAUUGAGUGGUUACUCUAUCCUUAUAAAUAUUCAAUCCUAAUUUUAGUUGUAGUAGAGUAACACUAAAACCUAACUUAUGUUUCAGUUGCAACAUGUGUAUUGAUAAAACGUGGACUACUAUUGAAAAUCAUAACUCUACCUUGUUCCAACAAGGACUCGAAUCUUUUCUCGAGAGGUCCAAACCAUAUGUCGAUAACAAAGGUCAAAUCAGAUGUCCAUGUAUAAAAUGUAAUGUCAACAAAUUUAUACUACUAGCCAUAAUGAAAUUACAUAUACUUCAACAUGGUUUUAGUCCAAAUUAUAUUAUAUUGAAGUAUCACGGCGAAAAUACAAUUCACCCGGUUGUCGAAGACAUACCGCUUAGUAUCGAGAUGGUCGAUGUUAUUACUGAUGUUAUGGGGGUGUGAUUGAAAAUGACCAACCGCGACGAAGGGAACCCGUAUAUAGAUAGUAGCCGUGUCGAUGAUGGAUUUCAAAAGUUAUUAGAGGAAGUCCAAUUAAAAUUAUAACCUUAAUGUUCGUUUUUGUGCCUUGACUUUUUAGCAAAGCUGAUGCAUAUCAAGGUGAUCAACAAAUGGACUGAUAGUUCAUUCGAUCAGCUUAUUCAGUUGUUGCAAACUGCAUUUCCUGAAGGAAACAAGGUCUCCCCAUCACACUAUGAAGCAAAAAAGACACUUAAAAAGAUCGGCUUGGGUUAUGAUUCGAUACAGGUAUAUAAAAACAACUGUUUUCUUUUCUGGAAAGAACACAAGUUGUUGCAAAGGUGUUCAAUUUGUAAUGAAAUUCGGUGGGUUGAUGAAAAUACAAAUGGUAAGAAAGUGGCUCAUAAGGUGUUAUGAUACUUUCCCUUGAUCCCCAGACUACAAUGUUUAUUCAAGUAUAACAUAUUUUGUAAUGUUAAAUAGAACUUGAAUAGACUUGAAGCAUUUACAUCGUGCGCAUGUGACUAAAAAUGAGGAAUUUAUUGAUCCUUUGGUUGAAGACAAAUAUGUAAGUUAUUAUUACUUAAAAUGAAGUAGAAUGUCUUUUUUGUGUUAGUUUGAAUUAUAUUGACAAUUUUUGUGAAAUAUGAAUUGCCUUAGUUGUUGAGGUUGCUUUACAGAUUCAUCACAUAGCCGACUCCGGUGGUGAUCCAGACACCGUUGAUUGGAUCACAAUAUUUGAGAAGAUGUUGGGUACUCGUAGGGAGCAUGUGAGAGGGAUUGGGCCUAAACCUUCGUCAACAGCGGGUAAAAGUGCUUCAUACUGAUGGCAGUCAUAGUCACAAGCAUCGCAACCAAGACAGGUACUUGCUAAAUUCUUAAACAAUUUGGUAGUUUAGCUAUAUUGUUAAGAACUCGAUGCAUUUAUAGUAUUUUUUUAGAAGUUUGGUAGUUUGUUAAAUUCUUAAAGUCUUAACUAAUUUGCUGGCAUAAUAGUUUUUUAAAUUGUUACCGACUUAAUUCAUUUGGUGGUUUGAGGGUUUGAUUGUUUGUUAAAUAGUUAAUAACUUAAUGUGCUUGUGACUUAAUUGUAGGAGGUUGAUGUGAAUGUUUUUCUUCAAAACCCAUCGUUUGUGCGGACCAUUGGAGACAUUAUCUGCUUGUUUAAAAACCAAGUCAACAACGAUGAGGAAGACACAAACACAUGGUAUUUCUAGUUUUGACCGUUUAUGGAUGAUUUUAUUUUGGAUUUAUUAGAUAGUUUAUCGAUGAUAUAUAUUAGAUGUGAUAUAUUUGAUGUUUUAUGUAAUGUGGUAUGUAUUUUUAUUACAUCUGCAUCUUAUAAUAUAAAAAACUAAUAUCAUAAAUAAAUUGUUUUUUCAAAAAAAAAAAAAAAAAAAAAAAACUCAUUAGCAGCAACAUCUUUAGGGAUGACAAUGAUCCAAUUGCGACGACAACUGAUUCCGGGAAGGGUAGCUGGAAAAACACCGACUGGUGGCCAUAAUACCGAAACAAAUAGCGACGAGAUUGACCAUUUAGCUAUGACUUGUAUCAGAGGCGACGCUAUUUGCGACGACAAAGGAGUAUUAGCUACGAAGUAAUAGCGACGACCCUUUUAACGACGUAUUUUUUCGUCGCUAAAGGUUACGUUUUUUGUUGUGUUAAGAGAAAUGUUCACCCUUUAUUUUCAUUAUGUUUUGUCCGAAUGACAAAUUUAAUAUAUUAUUGUAUUGGCAAAUCUAAUAGAUUCAAUGUUAUUAAUAGAUAAAACUAAUGUGGUGCCUUAUUAUCAAAGUACAAAUGUACCACGUAUUAGUUUUUCUAUCCUUGCAUUAGACUUGGUUUUAAUGGUGGUCUAGCUACGUUAGAAAAUAUCUAGCUACGUUGAAUACCAGGUCUGCUUUGAAGGUUUCCUUCCACUCCUUUUCUAUCACGGUCCUCCACAUUUUGGCUUCAUCCUCUACAAUUGCAUAAAACUCCAGGAAUAUUGGGCAUGUGGGCAUCACAUAUUUACUUCAGCGACUUCGUACUAAUUGAAUUUUCAACGCUACUUAUGAUUCACAAGUCAAAGUUGUUGACAAAUGCGUUGCCUUAUAUAUAGCUGCACGCGGUAAUCGGCAAACAAAAAAAAACUUUAAUGAUUUCUCCAAAUUGGGUGUUAGUUUUAUUUCAGUUUUAUAUUGUUACAAAUCUUUCUGGUCUCACCUUUACCCAUGGAGACCAUGUGUGCGGAUACCGGGGAAACUAUACACAAAACAGUGCAUUUGAAAAGAUCCUCAAUCGUACGUUAUCUGCUCUACCUGAAGCACCAAAGGGAGAUGAUUUCUUCUACAAUUACACAUCUUCAAAUCCUUCACAAGACCAUGAGAACACCACAGCUUAUGCACUUGCACUAUGCCCUGGAGACGUUCAAGAUGAAUCCUGUAAGGGAUGUGUGAAGUCUGCAACCGAAAGGCUUCGACAGGAUUGUCCUAAGCAAAUCAAAGCUACAGGUUGGUAUUACGAAAGAUGUAUGUUCAGCUACUCUAAUACAAGCUUUCAUGACAUGGUUAAUUAUGACGAUAAAGAUGUUCUAUCGUUUCCAACAGCAAGUUAUAUCACCAAUUGGAAUAUUAUUUCAGUUGCUGAGUCCCUAGAGAACUCCUUCAAAGAGUUACAGGUUAAAGCAGCUACUGAUGGUUAUAGUAAAAGAUUUUACUCUGAAACUAACAUUUUACCAAGUUCUAGGGGCAAUAUUGAAGCGACUAUCCAAUGCAUUCCAAAUAUAUCCCACAGCAAAUGUGAUGAGUGUUUGGGUAACGCUACUAAUUAUCUAGGAACAUCGUAUAAUGGAAGUGCUGAAGGAGUAGUUUACUACCGAUAUUCAUGUUUACUAAAAUACCAAGUAUAUCUUGUCCAGAUUCCACCUUCAGGUUCAUUGUGUUUUUGAUUAGUUAUAUUUAUUUUCAUAUUAAUUUAUAGACAUUAGUUUGGUGUUGCACAAAACGUUGGUUUUUUAUAUUGAUAUCUUUGAUCAAGGGAAAAAAAGAACAAAUGUCAUCGUUCCAGUAGUAGUAACAGUGGCAGCAGUAACAUUGGUCAUCUCGACCUUCUUUAUUUGCCUAAAGAUUGGCAAAUUCUGCAGUAAAAAAGGUAAAUAAGAUUUUAAAGAAUGUGGUAUAUCACGAUAUACAAUCACCCAUCUAUUUAGGAGUGUCAUAAUAAUCUUGGUGUAGGUGAAGAGGAAGAGCCGCUUCAUGCUUCAGACGAUGACACUGGGGAAAUUAUUUACUUUAGACUUGAUGCAAUUCAAGCCGCUACUCAUAAUUUCUCAGUUGCAAAUAAGCUUGGAGAAGGUGGUUUUGGUCCUGUUUAUUGGGUAAUAACCAAAACUCUUUCGAUAUAUAUACUCGUCUCUUUUCUAUUUGCCACUUUACAUAUUCUCAAACAAUUUUUUUUUUUUUUUUAUCUAAGGGAACGCUCUCCGAUGGUAAAAAGAUAGCAGUGAAAAGACUUUCACAAAACUCAAGUCAAGGAAUGAAUGAAUUCAAAACAGAAGUAAAACUAAUAAUAACGCUACAGCAUAAAAAUUUGGUGAAGCUUUUGGGUUGUUGUAUGAAAGGGAAGGAAAGGCUCCUUGUUUAUGAAUACAUGUCUAACAGUAGUCUCGAUAAGUUUCUUUUUGGUUCGUUCUCCACAUCUCUUCUAUAUUUCUCUUUGAUUAUUAUAGACCUUGUUAAGACACGAUGUGUCUAAUUAUGUGUAACUUAGUUUAGUUUUAUGAUAGAAGAUCCUAAAAAAGCAAAAGAACUGGACUGGGCUAAACGUGUCAACAUAGUGAAUGGAAUAGCAAAGGGUCUUCGUUAUCUUCAUGAGGACUCUCGCCUCAAGAUCAUACAUAGAGACCUCAAAGCUAGCAAUGUUUUAUUAGAUGACGAUAUGAACCCAAAAAUAUCAGACUUUGGCACUGCGAGAAUUUUUGGAUCUAAUCAAAUCGAAGCUAAUACUAACCGAGUUGUUGGAACCUAGUAAGCCAGUUAUACAGUUUAUAGAAAUUAAUAUAUUCAGUUAUUUUGGUUAACUGAAUUAAAGUUUGUUGUGAACCUUGGACAGUGGAUACAUGGCACCUGAGUAUGCAAUGGAGGGGUUGUUCUCAAUCAAAUCUGAUGUGUAUAGUUUUGGUGUUCUUCUUCUUGAAAUUAUAUCCGGGAAAAGGAACAGCAGGUUGUUCUACGAAGAGCAUGAUCGAAACCUUCUCUACUAUGUGAGCCAAAUCAUUUGCAUUACUUUCUUCUAUUUAUACUUCCAUUAGAAGAACUUGAAUUUAAAAGAUUCUCACUUUUUCAAGAAGUGGCUAAUUUCUAACAAUAGACCAUAUUAAUUUGACAACUGAAGGCAUGGAUGUUAUGGGAAGAAGGCAAAGGAGAGCAACUGAUAGACGAAAAUCUGAAUGAUGAUUGUCCUGUCCAUGAGGGUCUCAAAUGGAUGCGUAUUGCUCUAUUAUGCGUUGAAGAAGAUCCAAACAAUCGUCCCACCAUGUCUUCGGUUGCUUUUAUGCUUGAAGGUGAAUGGAAAUCCCUCUCUGAUCCUAAACCUCCCAUGUCUUUCGGCCAAUUUAUGACCUCUGACAAAUCUUCGUCAACUUGGAAUGUCGAUGAAUUUGGGUUUUAUUCAUUAUCUUUAGAAAGUAAAGGCAUCGGUGAUCAUUGUGUGUAGUGAAUAUACUGACCUUUUUAUUCUUUUGUAUAGAUAUACAGUCAAGUGUAUUCAUUAAACAUCGAAUAGAUUCAACUCAUAGAAAAAAUCUCCUGAAAUAAUGUCCUAGCUAUAGAUAUAGAUUUGUAAUACAAUUAUUGUAUAGCAAUUUGUAUGUUGUGUACCACAUUUGUCUUAGCCAACCUAUUUGACCAAUUCAUUACAAUCAUUUGGACCACAACAACUACAACAUUUUAAAAAGUGUCUUACAACUUAAAUUAUAAAAAUCAAUUAAUUUCAAUUUAUUGCAUAUAUUGUUGUAACAUGAUCGACAUGUGGCAACGCGACACUUGUGAGUCGUGACUUGUUCAUGAGGAAACAAUAACAUGGAAUUUAAAAAAAAGAGCUUGUAAGAAAUGGCAUUUUGCAAAAAAGAAAAAUAAAUUGGUAUGUGAGAAUGCUAGUAAAAUUUGGAUAUUAAUUAAUAUCUUGACACUUUUGAAUAAUUUUCUAUUUCAAUUUUAAUCAUCAAUGUUUUGGUUACGUAGAAUGAAUUGCUAAAUGAGAAACCAUAUUCUUCUUGUUUGACGAUUGGAAUUUUCUUUUGAAAAUCUAUGUCGUAUGCCCGGAAAUAUAAAACAAUGUUCUAUUCCUACUAAACAAGUCAUUGUUAAACACGACUCUUUGUAAUGUCCGAGAUUUAUAUGGUAUUAUUCUUAAUUAUAUAAGGUUAAAAGUUUUAAAAAAGUUUGGGGUUAGACCAUUGGUCCCUUGUAAUUGGGCUGAGGAAACACCGUACGCGGAGUGUACCUUGCCAUAUAUGCUCAGCAUACUCAAGAGAUUGGAAUGCAGAAGCCAUGCAUGUACGCCCAGCGUACACAUGCAGAUUCUAAAACCCUAAAUUUUAGGGUUUUCUCCCUAUAUAAAGGACCUUAUGCCUUUGGUCUAGCCUCCCUCUCACCCUUAGACAUCCAUCACGAAAACCCAUAUUUGUGUGUUCUUGUGAUUUGGUAGCCACCUGAGAGCAUUUUAGUGUUGUUUUGGUGUUUUGGAAGAGAAAGAAGUUUGAAGAAGGAGUAAGGAUUCAAAGCGACCUUGUAGAUCCAGGAGAUUAGCACCAUUUCUGACUCAUUUGAGGUAUCAAGCUUCAAACUUUAUCAUUGCAUGCUUAGAUUUGAUUUUGGGGUAUUUUAUGUAAUUUUUGGACUCCGUUGUUGAGGUUGAUUGAAUCUUGAUAGUUUCAGACCAUAAGCGUUGUUCGUUUGAGCUCUUCGAAGCAUAUAGAGACAUAAAAAUCAGACCUUGAUGGUUAAGUGACAACCAUGAAAGUUUUUAAUGGUCACAAAGUUUGGUUAAGGACCAAAAUCAUGUUUUGACUCGCAACCAUAUAUGCAAGCACAUAAAGUUCAUGACUUUAUGGAAUAGGAUGUCUUAAAGGACGUAGAUCUACAUUCUGAACGUGACGACUUAACGGAUUAAGUCACAAAUGGAGACCCAAGGAAGUUGUCGGUACGAUGAGCGUACACCCUGGUACGCUGCGCAUACUGGGUCAAUUUCCCGCUUUUGGUCAAGGCCAGCACACGCUGGGCGUACGUGCCUGGUACGCCGUGUGUACGCAUAUGGAGUGGAGAACUUGGGCUUUUGGGCCUUAGAAGUUUGGACCUGGAUAGUUGGGCCCCAUGGCCUACUAUGUAGUAGAGUUUAUGGGCGUAGAACUGAGAAUUAAAGUAUUGGGCUUUUUGGGCCAUAUUGGGCCACUCAAAAUUAUUUAUUUUGGGCUAAUGAUUUUUUGGACUUAUGAUAAGGCCAAUUUGAGGAGUUGGUACCAAUUAAGAAAAAUUGGGCCAUUAGUGGGCCUUUAGUGGGCCAUUUGUGGGCUGGGAAAGAUAAUAUGGAAUUGGGCCGUGGGUAUGGUCCAAAUUAGACCAAGGGGUAAAAUGCUCAUUUUACACUAAGAAAUAUUAUGGACUUUGAGUAAGUGUUGUUAGUAUAAUGACAGUCUGGUAUGCCAUUAUCUGUUGAGCUUUAUGUUCUAGGAUGCUAUGAUAUUAUGUGAUAAUGGUAGGAGGGGUGAAAUAGUCCCCGAAUACGAGUUGAAAGAGACCAAAGGGGUAGACAAUACCCAUAUAUGCCUAGCAGUAUGUUUACGAUAUGUUAUUACGUGGUAGUGGUAGGGGUGAAAUACUCCCCGUAACUUGUUGAGACAAACCAGAGGGUAGGUCGGGCACCCAUAUAUGCCUGACAGGGGUAGGUCAGACACACCGGUAUGUCUGACAAGGGGAAGGUUUGGGCACCCCGGUAUGCCUAAUAAGGGUAGGUUGAGCACUCCGGUAUACUUAAGAGCAGUGUUGUAAAACUUGCCGAGUUUGCCGAUUACUCCUUCGAGUACUCGCUAGUCGGACACUUACUAAGGCGAGUUAUAGAAUCCCAAGUACUCCCCGGUCGACCCCGUACUGAACUGAGCAGUGCUGUAAAACCCGAUCAGCUCAGUAAUUAAUAUGUACAAUAUACUUAAUUAUUUAUUAUUGAACACAAAUACUUGUGAUUAUGACUAUAUAUAUAUCUUAAAUUUUUAGUAAUUAUUCAUGAAGUGAGACCAUUAUGUAUUUUUCAGUUUUUAUGUAUUCACAUGUAUCUAAUUUUGUUAUAUAUUUCAAUCAAAUUAAGAUUUUAACAUAUGAUUUUGACAUAUAUAAGUUCCCUAAAAAUAUUUUUACAUGAAUUACCGAAUCAGAGUACUCCUUUGUACUCGCUACUCAGUAGUCUGCCAAAAAAGGUACCGAAUAACGAGUUCUACAACCUUGCUCAGGAGGGUAGUUAUGGCGCCCAUAUAUAUGUCUAUUGUAUUUUAUGUGGUGUUAUGGGGGAACUCACUAAGCUUUGUGCUUACGAUUUUCAGUUUUGGUUCCAGGUACUUCUUCUUCGAAGGGAAAGGAGUCGGCAUGACUGCAGCGCAUCACACCACGAUUCUCCGCACUACGAUGUCCUUGGGAUUUGUACUCUGACAUUAUUAUGACUUGUUUUGAGACAUAUGACUUACGGGUUUUUAUUAUAUGGGAUAACCAAAUGAUGUUUUCAAUAAUCUGUUUAUGGAUUAUUAAAUUAAAAAUGAAAAUUUUGCCAUGGAUUUUGGGAUGUUACAAGUUCGUAUCAGAGCCAUGGUUUGAGGGAUUCGGACACACCUUCGGGGCGCCUGGACUCAAAUCGAGGGUUUGAAAGACUUUCACAAGAAAAAUAAAUUUUCAAAAAUUAAGGUUAAGAGUUUUGUCAAAGAACAAGGUGUGUGAUGUGUGCAAUCAGCCGGGCUCAAGUAAGUUUUCCCCAAGAUACCCAUACAUGUUAUGUUAUGUUAUGAUAUGAUAUGAUAUGAUUAUGAGAAAUGCAUGCUAGAUUAGGACUGAGGAACUAGGAAGGAUGACUUAUAUGCCUACUGUAUGUGCAUGGGAUCUGCAUGUUAGAUUAGGGUUAAGGAUGUCGGAAGAAGCCUUAUAUGCAUGACGUAUGUGCGUGUUAAGCUACAUGAUAGUACUGACUAGUCAGUGAUAUGAUUGCCUGAUUAGGAUAUGCUUUGUGACAACCGUCAAAAUUCGAUUCGGUUCUAGAUUCGAAUAAACUUAGUUGCACAUAUAGACAUGACACAUACUAGACUUAGUAACUAGAAGUUAAGAUAUAACCUAUUAGAAACUUGGAAACAAUGGAUAAUAUGCUUGGAUUUCACAUUGGUAUGUGAAUUCUACUACUACUUAACUGUAGAGGCUAUCCAUAUCCGGGUCACUCUUUGACUCGAACACCAUUUCAUGAAUCAUAUACACACAUCAUGCAUUUGACGUAGAAGUAGAAAUUAGGUCAAAGUCUCAUAGAAACGUAAGUCAAAGUUGAAGACUAGGACUAGUAUAUUUGAUUCCUCAAUUUCUCUUGAAUCUCGGAAUCACUAUAUAGAAUGUCAAUAAACCAAUAGAAUAAAUGACAAACAUUAUUUAUAACUAUAAAGGAGUUAUAAUACAAUACGAUAAAUUGAAGAUUUAAAUGUUCUAUUGAUAGUUAUGAGACAUAUAAUAUUAUAUUAGAAUGAUUAAGUUCAAGGAAAUAUAAUCAAGGAAAAUAAAAUUUUAAGUCAUUAACAUUUACCCUUAAUUUAUAAGUCAAAAAUCAAUAUUUUAUGAGUAAAAACUAUAUUAAGGUGCAAAUUUUAUAAAAGAGUUUGAUAUUUUUAUAAAAGAUUUGAAUAUUAUAAAAAUAGAAGAGAGGGAAGCCCUUUCUUAUCCCCCAAAACCGGCCACCCUCUUCCCAAGACACUCCUCUCUUCCCAAAACACAUAAUCACUUCUUUCUCUCUCACACUCCACUUUCUCUCUCAUUUUCUCUCAUUUCUGUCUACCUUCACCACUCCAUUUUCUCUCUUCCUCUCUCUAUACCCAUGAAAAUUUCCAGAAUAUAAGUCCAAGAACACACCGCAAACUCAAAAUUUUCAUCAUCUAGUGGUGUUCAUUAAGGUAGAACACAAUUUCCUUCAUUUUCCUUCAAAGUUUUGUUAAAUUUAUUACACUUUCUUUUUCUUCUACUCCAUUCUAUUGUAAAAUCAUGAGCAAUUGCACCUACUCAUGGUUUUGAUGAUGGUGGUGGUAGGAUUUCAUCCAAAAACAACAUACAUGUUGUAGAUGGUGGAAAAACACCACAUACAUCCAAAGUUUUCUUUCAAAAAUGAAUUUUGAACAUUUCAAACUCAUGAAUGAUCUUCAAACAAACAUGCAUGUGAUGAUCUUCAAGCUUAGAUGUUAGAUCAUCAAAGUAUGUUGUUAAAAGCUUUCAAACAUGUUCAUGAAGGAUUUAUUUCCAAAUAAAUAUGUAAAACUUCUUUUCUAAACAAAUCCGAUUUUUACCAGAUUCCCAUCAACAAAAUAAGAUGCUCUGUAAAUUUGCAGAAGAUAAUUCAUUUAUCUCGAAUUACUAUAAUUAAUGCAAGAAAAUAGGGAAAUAAAUCAUAUAAAAUACUUUCUGAGGUCUAUAAAUCCUAGUUACAUUUGUGGAUGUCUCCUAUGCUAAAUAAUGACCUCUCAUUAAGUUUCAUCGAUUUGUGUUACUGUUUAGUAUGGCUUUGAGUUUUCUUUUGGUUUAUCUCUAAUAAAUCAUAAAACCACUUUAGAAAAGGUAAAAUAGAUACAUAAUGGUUUUCGCAUCUUCCGCUGUAUUUGAAAUACUUAUAAAAAUAUUUUCAGAAUUUUCCAUAUUGCAUUCCUAAUUUGUCCCGAUUUUUGUAUUUAUAAUGGCCUAAAAAUAGAAUAAAUAGUUGUGCUCAUCCAAAAUUCAUGAAAAUUUACCAGAACACCUUUAGUACAUGAGGAUGCUAAAUAAAAAUUUUGAUGAUUUUUCUCUUCUAUAUACUAUUUGUCUUCUAUUUUCCCAAGAUUAAAUACACUUAAACCCAAAUUUUUAUUAGAAUAAAUAUUAAAAAAUCAUAAAAUUGGGUUAAACAGUUUAUAAAUUCAUUUUAAUAUUUUUCCCAACUUAAUAAUGGUUAAUAACAGUGUUACAAAAAUUUUGGGCAAUUUUGGAAACAAUUUUCUAUUUAUUUCAAUUUUUUAUUAUAAUAAAUGCAUAAAAAUCAUAAAAUUGGGUUAAACAGUUUAGAAACCCAUGGUGUAUUUGAACCCAUGGAUCCAAGGAAACGGAAGGCCAUGACAAUUAGGGUUUACCCUAAUUGUAACAACUAUAUAAGAUCAUAUUAUUUGGGAAAAAUCGGCCACUAUGAAUAAUAAGACAGCGCUAGCCGAUUCUAGGAGUGUGCAAGUUUCUCCCAAGUUAUUCUAAGUGUAUUUGGUGUUGUGUGAACCAUUUGAGAUGUCACACUUGAGGCAAUAGGCACUCAAGCUUCAUGAAGACAUUCUACAUCAAAGACGUAUGUAUUAUAUCUUGUUAUAUUCAUUAUUUUGUAUGCUAGAUUAGGAUAAUACCUUGGAUGUUCAUAAUUGCAUGUAUAAUAGAGAAAACAUAGAUCCAAGGUAUUUAGGGUUGCAUGUACACUUAGGCGUGUUAGAAUGCUUAAAACCCAACAGUGGUAUCAGGGCCUAGGCUUUUUUCUUGUUAUACUUGCAAAAGUAGCUGAAAAAAUCGAGUUUUGAUGUUGUUUGUGUUGGAAUAGUAUCUAAGGCUGCACCUAUAUUAGGCAAGUAUUUGACCCGGUUGUGCAUGGUCCUUUUGGGUUGCCUUCACCAUAGCAACUUGAUAGGAUGAUUUAUUAAGAGAGAGUAAAUAUUAUUAAUAUAUUAUGAGAAUAAUAUAAUGAAUAAUAUAUUGUUAUUUGAUUAAUAUAAGUCAUAGAAUUAAUUGGAAUUAAUUUGGUGACUUAAAGAGAUUAAUUAAAUAAGAGGGUAUAAACUGUCAAUUGUUUGAUAGUUAAACUUGAGACUGUAAAGCCAUAUAGAUAUGGAUUGGACGAAUUAUAGGAGCUAAAGGAUAGCUCAAAAUUGUCCAUGAUGUUAUCUAGGAGUGGAUUUGGAUAGCCUUAAGAGAAGAUUAUCCAAUAGGGUUUAAACUGUAACCCAUAAGGAGUCUACAAGUAUAAAUACACUCUAUGGCUGAUGGAAUUCGAUACUUCACCUAAAGUAGAGAACCUCUGGUCGAAUUCCAUUCCCUCUCCUCUCUCCCAAAUCAUCCUCCUUGCUUUGGUGUUUGUAAGCCAUUAGAGGAGUAACAAUUGUGACUCUAGAAGCUCCAAGACAACAAGGUCAACAAGNUCAAAGGUAUGGUUCUAGAUCUGUUUCAAUGUUGUUAUUUAACCUAAUUAGUCAUUAGAAGUCUUGGAUUCAAAGCAUGUUUAAUUAGAAAGCCUAGAUCCAAGCAUUAGGGUUUUGCAUGAGCACAUAGGAAAGUUCUUAUGGCUAAAACCCAUUAGUGGUAUCAGAGCCUAGCUUGGUUUUCAUUAAAUUGUUGCUUGAUUAACUGAAACAAACCUUCAAAAUUCGAAUUUUUGGUUUCUGAGUCUCGGACUCGGCGAGUUCCAAAGUGGACUCGGCAAGUAGGCCUGACUCGGCGAGUCCCUUUGUGCACUUGGCGAGUCCAAGCGUCAGGAAUGGCCAGAUUCGGGAUUUUUUCAUAAUUAUCUGAUGGAAACUUUCCUUAAUCUAAUUAGAUCAACACUAAUCUGAUUUUUUGAUAUAUAUGACUAUAAUCUUGAUCUAAUUAAAGGUAUUUAUCAUCUAAUAAAAUAUUUAAUUUCCUUAUAUGAUAAUUAAUUAAUUAUUUUGAUUAUUUUGGUAAUUAUCUUCAAAGAAAUCUUGAAUAAAUCAAAUAUGGAUAAUUAGAAAAUUAAUUGUUAAUUGAACUUAUUUGUUAUUUUAUCCUCCAUGUUUUAAAUGUUUAAAAACUUGUCCUCAAAUUUUGAAAUUUAUAUUUUGUGAUUAAAAUUUUUAAUUUAGACAACUUAAAUUUCAAACCCUAGAUUUUAAAAGGUUUAAAAUACAACCCUAUACAAAUAUAAUAUUACAAGAAUAAUAUAUAUAUAUNNNNNNNNNNNNNNNNNNNNNNNNNNNNNNNNNNNNNNNNNNNNNNNNNNNNNNNNNNNNNNNNNNNNNNNNNNNNNNNNNNNNNNNNNNNNNNNNNNNNNNNNNNNNNNNNNNNNNNNNNNNNNNNNNNNNNNNNNNNNNNNNNNNNNNNNNNNNNNNNNNNNNNNNNNNNNNNNNNNNNNNNNNNNNNNNNNNNNNNNNNNNNNNNNNNNNNNNNNNNNNNNNNNNNNNNNNNNNNNNNNNNNNNNNNNNNNNNNNNNNNNNNNNNNNNNNNNNNNNNNNNNNNNNNNNNNNNNNNNNNNNNNNNNNNNNNNNNNNNNNNNNNNNNNNNNNNNNNNNNNNNNNNNNNNNNNNNNNNNNNNNNNNNNNNNNNNNNNNNNNNNNNNNNNNNNNNNNNNNNNNNNNNNNNNNNNNNNNNNNNNNNNNNNNNNNNNNNNNNNNNNNNNNNNNNNNNNNNNNNNNNNNNNNNNNNNNNNNNNNNNNNNNNNNNNNNNNNNNNNNNNNNNNNNNNNNNNNNNNNNNNNNNNNNNNNNNNNNNNNNNNNNNNNNNNNNNNNNNNNNNNNNNNNNNNNNNNNNNNNNNNNNNNNNNNNNNNNNNNNNNNNNNNNNNNNNNNNNNNNNNNNNNNNNNNNNNNNNNNNNNNNNNNNNNNNNNNNNNNNNNNNNNNNNNNNNNNNNNNNNNNNNNNNNNNNNNNNNNNNNNNNNNNNNNNNNNNNNNNNNNNNNNNNNNNNNNNNNNNNNNNNNNNNNNNNNNNNNNNNNNNNNNNNNNNNNNNNNNNNNNNNNNNNNNNNNNNNNNNNNNNNNNNNNNNNNNNNNNNNNNNNNNNNNNNNNNUGCUAGUUCUUUCACGUUGAUGAGCCUUUGCCAAAAGGUCACCUUCGAUGGAACGAACUUUAGCGAAUGGAUAAGACACAUUCGCACCAUUGCUCGCUAUGAGGAUAAGGAGUAUGUCCUCGAUGAGAAGAUCGAGAAAAUCAACCCUGAAAUCACUACUCCCGCCGAAAUCACCGCUUUCGAAACUCACGAGCGUGAUGCGACGAAAGUGCAUUGCAUCAUGAUUGCGACAAUGAACUCUGAAUUCCAAAAGUCCUACGAGGACAUGUACCCGUACGAGAUACCACCAGAACGCGAGACAAGAACGUGAGACAAGACUUAUUGCAUCAAGACUUAUUGGAGAGAUACCACUAGAACGCGAGACAAGAGCGUUAUGAGAUUUUCACCAACAUGAUUUCCGCUAAGAUGGGUCAUGGAGAAUCUCUUACCAUGCACUUGCAAAAGAUGCAAAGGUAUGUCGACCGCCUUCGCAAGUUAAAUGUUGACUUUGGAGAAGACUUGGCGAUCGACAUGGUGCUUCACUCUUUGCCUCCGAUGUACAAUCAAUUAAGGAUGACCUACCACAUCAACAAAGAGGAGCUUACCCUAAGCAAACUCCAAGGUCUCUUGAGGGUCGCUGAGAGCAACUUCAAAGACAAGUCUGUUGCACCAACUCCCAAUCCACCCGCUGCUCCUAUCUUGGCUAUUGGUCAAGGAAAGGGAAAGAAGAGGAAGGCUUCGUCUAAGAACUAUCGCAAGGUUAAAGCCCGAGAUGGUGCCUCUUCUAGUGGGACCAAAGUUGAUCCCGCUAAGCCCUGCCCUAACCCGAAGGAGGCAGAGUGCCACCACUGCCACAAGAUAGGACAUUGGAAGAGAAGCUGCCCAGAGUACCUGCAAGCAAUCAAAGAAGGAAAGAUCAAGCCAUCUUUCGCAGGUAUAUACACAAUUAAAUCUAACGAUUCUAAUCAUGCUAUUUCUUGGUUUCUUGAUACCGGUUGCGGUUAUCACAUUUGUUCUAAUGUGCAGGGACUAAGAAGAAGUGGGGAUGUGGAGCAAGGAAGGAUAAAUCUAAUCAUGGGAAACAGAAGAUCGUCACCUGUGACCAAGAUUGGAGUGUAUUCUUUAGUGCUUAGGAAUAAUUUGGUUUUAGAUUUGAACAAUUGUUGCUAUUCGCCAGAAAUGGCUAGAAACAUCAUUUCAUUUCAUGGUUUAUAUAGACAAGGAUUUAGAUUUUCUUUUAAUAAUGAGAAUGGUUCUAUUUUGGCUUAUCUAAAUGGUGUCUUUUACUUUGAAGCUAUACCAUGUAAUGGAAUAUAUGAAACCGUUAUGAUUGUUGAUAACUUAGGAAAUGAUGUUUUGAAU
rnacentral:lncRNA from 1 species